GAUGAACGCUGGCGGCGUGCCUAAUACAUGCAAGUCGAACGCAUUGAGAGAAGUGCUUGCACUUUUCAAUUUGAGUGGCGAACGGGUGAGUAACACGUGGGCAACCUACCUGAUAGCGGGGGAUAACGAGUGGAAACAUUCGCUAAUACCGCAUAACAAUAGAGAAUGCAUCUUCUUUAUUUAAAAGGCGCUUUCAAGCGUCACUAUCAGAUGGGCCGGUGGUGCAUUAGUUAGUUGGUGGGGUGAAGGCCUACCAAGACGAUGAUGCAUAGCGGAGUUGAGAGACUGAUCGGCCACAUUGGGACUGAGACACGGCCCAAACUCCUACGGGAGGCUGCAGUAGGGAAUCUUCCACAAUGGACGAAAGUCUGAUGGAGCAACGCCGCGUGUGUGAUGAAGGCUUUCGGGUCGUAAAGCACUGUUGUAUGGGAAGAAAUGCUAGGCUAGGAAAUGAGCUUAGUUUGACGGUACCAUACCAGAAAGGGACGGCUAAAUACGUGCCAGCCGCCGCGGUAA
rnacentral:rRNA from 1 species